rnacentral:rRNA from 1 species
UACAGAGGGGGCCAGCGUUAUUCGGAAUUAUUGGGCGUAAAGCGUCCGUAGGUGGCACUUCAAGUCUGCGGUCAAAGACCGGGGCUUAACCCUGGAAAGGCCGUGGAAACUGAAGUGCUAGAGUGCAGUAGGGGUAGAGGGAAUUCCCGGUGUAGCGGUGAAAUGCGUAGAGCUCGGGAAGAACAUCGGUGGCGAAAGCGCUCUACUGGACUGCAACUGACACUGAGGGACGAAAGCUAGGGGAGCGAAUGGG